CAGGUUGAAGGUUGGGUAACACUAACUGGAGGACCGAACCGACUAAUGUUGAAAAAUUAGCGGAUGACCUGUGGCUGGGGGUGAAAGGCCAAUCAAACCGGGAGAUAGCUGGUUCUCCCCGAAAGCUAUUUAGGUAGCGCCUCGUGAAUUCAUCUCCGGGGGUAGAGCACUGUUUCGGCUAGGGGGCCAUCCCGGCUUACCAACCCGAUGCAAACUGCGAAUACCGGAGAAUGUUAUCACGGGAGACACACGGCGGGUGCUAACGUCCGUCGUGAAGAGGGAAACAACCCAGACCGCCAGCUAAGGUCCCAAAGUCAUGGUUAAGUGGGAAACGAUGUGGGAAGGCCCAGACAGCCAGGAUGUUGGCUUAGAAGCAGCCAUCAUUUAAAGAAAGCGUAAUAGCUCACUGGUCGAGUCGGCCUGCGCGGAAGAUGUAACGGGGCUAAACCAUGCACCGAAGCUGCGGCAGCGACACUGUGUGUUGUUGGGUAGGGGAGCGUUCUGUAAGCCUGUGAAGGUGUGUCGUGAGGCAUGCUGGAGGUAUCAGAAGUGCGAAUGCUGACAUAAGUAACGAUAAAGCGGGUGAAAAGCCCGCUCGCCGGAAGACCAAGGGUUCCUGUCCAACGUUAAUCGGGGCAGGGUGAGUCGACCCCUAAGGCGAGGCCGAAAGGCGUAGUCGAUGGGAAACGGGUUAAUAUUCCCGUACUUGGUGUUACUGCGAAGGGGGGACGGAGAAGGCUAUGUUGGCCGGGCGACGGUU
rnacentral:rRNA from 1 species